GACGAACCGUGCGAACGUUGUUCGGAUUCACUGGGCUUAAAGGGCGCGUAGGCGGAAGGUCAAGUCCGAGGUGAAACUCUUCGCUCACCGGAAAAGUGCCUUGGAUACGGAUCUUCUCGAGGGAGGUAGGGGCAUGUGGAACUUCCGGUGGAGCGGUGAAAUGCGUAGAUAUCGGAAGGAACAUCAGUGGCGAAAGCGGCUUCCUGGUCCAGCACCGACGUUCAGGCACGAAAGCGUGGGGAGCAAACAGGG
rnacentral:rRNA from 1 species